ACUCCGUGUGGCCCGUGGGCGCCGUGAGAGGGAAAGGGCAGGCUUCCUAGGGUUUGUGGCGGGGCGGCAGCUGCAGCUGGAAUGCCGGCGACACAUCCCCUUUUCCGGCCAUUUGCACACUGGGAUCUAAUACAAUGGCUAGCGAUGGUGAUGCUUCACCUUCACGGAAGCAUAUGUUGUUGGAGUUGCCUUGUGAUGAAGAAGGUGCAAAUGUGAGCCAAAAUGUUGGUGUGUCCGCAUCAUCAGCCACGACCCACACCUGCCGCUGCCAGAGCUUCUCAUGAACAAGGUGAAAAUCUAGAAGGUGGAAGUAAUGUUGAUGGGGAUGAUUCUUCAAAGGAAAAGCAAUCAAAGAAGUCCACUUCAGAUGUUUAGCAGUAAUUUUAAGAAUAUUAGAGCAUUUGUGCUAGCUGUUAAGGGGUAUCCAUUGCAAUGGGAGGAGUUUCAAAAAUGUGCUACUGAAUGUGGUGUGGACACAAAGGUUGGACUCUCUAUUGAUGUUGCUACUAGGUGUAAUUCAACAUAUUGCAUGUUGAGGGAUGCACUACAUAACAGGGCUGCCUUUGAAAGGCUUAUGUCAUAUGAACGUCACAGGAUGAAGACCUAGAUGAUGAUCAUGAUGAUGGACGUGAGGCAUCGUUGUAAGCUUGUUGAUGAUGACCUAGAUGAUGAUAAUGCGACAUGAAUGCUUUGAAUGUUUCUUACUGUACUUAUUGCCAACUUGGGACUUGUUAUAUUGUGAACUUGUGAUCAACUUUUUAUGUUGUGAACUUGUGAUCUUUGUGGUCAACUUGUUAUAUUGUGAUCUUUGUGGUCAACUUGUUAUAUUGUGAACUUGUGAUCUGUGUGAUCAACUUGUUAUAUUAUGAACUUAUGAUCUCAAUGAUCAACUUGUUAUAUUGUGAAUUGUGAACUUGUGAUCUGUGUGAUCAACUUGUUAUAUUAUGAACUUAUGAUCUCAAUGAUCAACUUGUUAUAUUGUGAAUUGUGAACUUGUGGUCUUUGUAAAUUUUAUUGUAUUGUGAAUUUUUAUUGAGAUAUUUCCAUAUUGAUAUAGUUACCGAUUGUAUUUUAGGUUCCGACCAAUACUGAUGUAUUUUUCGUAUCGUUUCUCUUUCGGAGUUACCGUUUCCGAUAAAAAAUGAAAAUGAUAAUGAUUUUAGUGUUUUCCGACCGAUUUCAUCCCUACACCAGACAUGCGGUGGUACUACAGCACCUCGAGUAACUUUUGUUUUAAACUUCUCGUGGGGGCUUUUAGCUGAAUUUAGCUAGCAAUAAUUUUCGUGAGUGUGCAUGGAUCUCUCCCAAUUUAUAUAUUUUAAAAUUUAAAUUAAAUUUCUCACUAAACGGCGCCCUGUGCUUAUCUACCGUGGAAUCAGCUAGCGCUCACCUCGAGGAAUUUUGGAUCUCCAUGGACCUUACGAUUUUUGGAACUUCUUUCCAUGAGACUGUACCGUUUGUUCAUUCAGUAACGGAAAAGCUAUAGUUGAGGUAAGGAAUCCGAAUAGAUCAACAUUACCACUUCAAGUAUGCCGAGAGCGAACAACCCGCAACACGUCGAUUGGUUCACCAAGCUCGCUUCAAAACGAGUUGAAUCAUCAAACCGAUUAAGUAUUACUAUUAGGAAGUCAAAACUUAAAAAAAAA